ensembl:lncRNA
CACAAAAUGAAUCCCCUUAUGCUUGGAAAUAAGCAACCAAUGCGUGGACGAUGAAAAAGAAAGUUAAAUGGCUUCGAGGAAGGAUGUAGAUUGCAGCUUCUGCAAAUAUGUAAUCGCGCGCAGGGGCGUCGAGUCGAGGAUGGCAGCGGGGAGUCUGUGCUUCACUGACCGGCGGAUCAUGAUCCAGAACAGAAUAAAUUCAACAAUUCAUUUCACCGGCAUUUAUGGAUGUUUUUUGCUCAUGCUUCCAUUAUCUCUUUAUUUGGUCAGAGUGAUGAAAGAUCUAUGCCAGAGGCGGAGGAGCGACUCACCCCUGAGGAUGUGUUCAGUCCCAACACUGACGAGUCUGCCCCACUCCUGCAGGGAGAGCAGAUUCCUUCAGCCCACAGGGAUAAUGCUGAGGAUGAUCAACCACCUUCCCCUGUGAAUGAAGAAGACAGUGUAGAGGAAAAGACAAACCCCCAACAACAAUAAUACCUCUCUACAAAUCACACGAGAUGCCAACGAUGGAGAAUUGCCUGAGGAGAAUUAUUGCUCAGAUGAAAUUGCUGUGGUGCUUGUUGACAACUCGAGUCCCUCGGCCCACCUGGACAAGAGUGAUACGGUUAAGAUCCUUAUCACAAUGAGCUGUGACCCACAGACGGCAGCUGAAAACUGAAUGAGUCCGUCAAACAGCGCAUCUUAGAGUCAGCUCAGUCCAACCAGGGAGAAUACUGUCCUGUUAAAAUUCCUGUCAUCACCUUCGAUUUGCCUCACGAAGUGGAGGAACCCUCUGCAGGUGAUGAAAAAGAAGAUACACCUUUUGCAGGAGAGAGCUCUGUUCAGGACAAGUCCGAACAUCUGACAUUGCUCAGGAAUACAAAGAAUUUGGGAUCAAUGAACUUGAGAUGCCCAAUCUGAGCCCCCAAGGAGAGGAAAGAUAACUUUACCAGCUGUAACAGUGGCAUGAACAUGGAGGAUGUGGAUUGUGCUGGUUCCUCCUUAAGUCAGAAUCAUAACUCCGCCACAUCCCAGAGCCGAAGCCUUUUUCACGGCCGCCAAAGCAGCUCCCAGUCCAGACACCACGGACUCACCGGGAGUAUCGCAGUCGCCCAGUGCAACCUCAGGGCCAACGGCCCCCUGUCACCAGCUGAUCGAGUCCCAUCCUGGACAGCCAGCACGGCUCCAACAGCCAGCUGUCCUUCAACACCUCCUCCAUUGCCUCCGUCUUUUCCCAGGUGCCUCGUUUAUCCACAACAGGGCCUCUGGCUCUGGCUCCAGCCAGGCGUCUUCCUCCAGCUCCACACUGAGCCUGCUGUUGGCAAGCGGAGCUGCUCCAGCGGCUUGGUCAUCUCAGGCCUCUCUGCAGCUGAGAGGGGGAACACCAGAGAUACGCAGUCCUCAAGUUCUGACAACAUCGUCCUAGGCCCGUCCUGUCACUCGAGUCAUGCAAUGCAGCAGUGGACAUCAGAGGCGUAG